AACGAACGCUGGCGGCAUGCCUAACACAUGCAAGUCGAACGAGACCUUCGGGUCUUGUGGCGCUCGGGUGCGUUCCGCGUGGGAAUUUGCACUUAGGUUCGGAAUAACUCCCCGAAAGGGGUCUUAAUACCGGAUAGUGUCAUCGGGCCAAAGAUUUAUCGCCUGUGGAUGUGCCCGCGUUGGAUUAGCUAGUUGGUAGGGUAAAAGCCUACCAAGGCGACGAUCCCUAGCUGGUCUGAGAGGAUGAGUAGCCACGCUGGGACUGAGACACGGCCCAGACUCCUACGGGAGGCAGCAGUGGGGAAUAUUGGACCAUGGGCGAAAGCCUGAUCCAGCAAUGCCGCGGGAGUGAGGAAGGCCGUAGGGUUGUAAAGCUCUUUUACCCGGGAUGAGAAUGACAGUACCGGGAGAAUAAGCUCCGGCUAACUCCGUG
rnacentral:rRNA from 1 species